CCAUCGGCCCUUUUCAGAGCCAUCAAAUGUGUAGAAAAGAGUUGAA
rfam:Aedes aegypti strain Liverpool supercont1.11 genomic scaffold, whole genome shotgun sequence.